AGCCUGAUGCAGCCAUGCCGCGUGUGUGAAGAAGGCCUUCGGGUUGUAAAGCACUUUCAGUCGUGAGGAAGGUAGUGUAGUUAAUAGCUGCUUUAUUUGACGUUAGCGACAGAAGAAGCACCGGCUAACUCCGUGCCAGCAGCCGCGGUGAUACGGAGGGUGCGAGCGUUAAUCGGAAUUACUGGGCGUAAAGCGCAUGCAAGUGGUUUGUUAAUUCGGAUGUGACAGCCCGGGGCUCGACCUCCGAAUAGCACUUGAAACUGGAAGACUAGAGUACUGUAGAGGGGGGUAGAAUUUCAUGUGUAGCGGUGAACUGCGUAGAGAUCUGAAUGAAUACCGGUGGCGAAGGCGGCCCCCUUGCACAGAUACGCGAGACUCAGAUGCGAAGUGUGGGGCAGCAAACUGAGAUAAGACACCGCUGGUAGUCCACGCCAUAUACGAUAUGGACCUGGUACGUCGUGGGCAUGAUCCGUGGCUGUCGAAGCUAACGUCGUGUACUACACGUCGUGGCGAGUAAAGUCACAUGAUCAGACGUCAGAUGGAGGUCGACCGGGCGACUCGCAUAGACGUUGGAUCAUGUGGACUGUACUCCACUGCGAACGUCUACAUACUGAGCUACUCUCGACAUGCACAGGACUUGGCCGAAAUCGUCUGGUGCCUCCGGUAACUCGGAGGCACGUCUGGAUGCUUAUCUCGCUUGCUGCUUGUGCAUUGUCAGCUAUGCAGUAUCUAGUUCAGGCCGGUCGAGCCUUGUCUGGCGGCAG
rnacentral:rRNA from 1 species